rnacentral:rRNA from 1 species
GUCAGUUGACUACUAGGCAAUGUGGUGUUCAGGUUGUCUCUCAGUGACGCUGCUCCAUCUAAGUCCAGAAAUGAGUAUGGCUUUCUGAACAUGGCCCAAGGAGGGUGAAAGGCCCGUGGGGGUGGAGACACAGAAAGGCCAGCGUUGCUAUGAGUAAACCUUGGAGUCGGGUUGUUUGUGAUUGCAGCCCAAAGUGGGUGGUAAACUCCAUCCAAGGCUAAAUACUUACACGAGUCCGAUAGCGAACAAGUACCGUGAGGGAAAGUUGAAAGUACUUUGAAGAGAGAGUAAACAGUGCGUGAAACCGCUCAGAGGUAAACAAGUGGAGUUGAACUGCAAGCUCUGGGAAUUCAGCUGGUGAGCAUGAUUUGAUCUUGGUCAUAUUGGUUGGUCUUCGAAGUCUGCUUAGCUGCAGGUCCUUGCUUUCGGGUAGGGAUUCGUGUUGCACUUAUCAAGUGUUGCGUGCUUCGUUGAUCCUCGAACUGGCUUGUCAGUGCACUUUCUCAGAGUGGUCACCACGACCGACACCGCUGUCUGGUUGGUGUGUUCAAACCGGCUUGUCUUGGUUUAACGAUUUUGGCGAGUCGGGAUGGCAGGUAGCUCGUUGAUUUGCGCUUGCGCGGUCUUCGGGUGUAAUUAGCUGAGCGCAUCGAUUCUGUGCAGUGUGUCGGGGACGGCGGCUUCUUGGUGUGUGCAUGCGUGCCUAUUCUUCAUCGAGCUCGUAUCUGGCUGCCCGUUGCUUGUCAAAGCAGGCCUGGUGGCGGUUCGGGUUCGCGUGGAGGGUUGUUGCGUGUGUGUCACUGUAGAGGGCCAACAGUCUGUGGUGUAGUGGUAGACGAUCCACUUGACCCGUCUUGAAACACGGACCAAGGAGAGUAACAUGUGCGCGAGUCAUUGGGCGGUACGAAACCCAAAGGCGCAGUGAAAGUGAAGCUUCGGCUUGUCCGGAGUGUGGUGAGAUCUUGGCGUUUCUUACACGUUUACUACCAAGUUUCGAGCGUCAAGCGCAUCACCGGCCCGUCCUAUAACGUGAUUAUGGUUUCUGUAUGUC